rnacentral:rRNA from 1 species
AUGAACGCUAGCGGCAGGCUUAAUACAUGCAAGUCGUGGGGCAGCAGGGGUGUAGCAAGUACACUCGCUGGCGACCGGCAAACGGGUGCGGAACACGUACGCAACCUACCCAAAACUGGUGAAUAGCCCUCCGAAAGGAGGAUUAAUACACCGUAACUUAAUGAAGUGGCAUCACUUUAUUAAUAUAGCUCCGGCGGUUUUGGAAUGGGCGUGCGGCUGAUUAGGUGGUUGGCGGGGGGUAACGGCCCACCAAGCCUGCGAUCAGUAACUGGUGUGAGAGCACGACCAGUCACACGGGCACUGAGACACGGGCCCGACUCCUACGGGAGGCAGCAGUAAGGAAUAUUGGUCAAUGGAGGCAACUCUGAACCAGCCAUGCCGCGUGCAGGAAGACGGUCCUAUGGAUUGUAAACUGCUUUUGUACGGGAGAAAACCCAUCUACGUGUAGGUGGCUGAUAGUACCGUAAGAAUAAGCAUCGGCUAACUUCGUGCCAGCAGCCGCGGUAAGACGAAGGAUGCAAGCGUUAUCCGGAUUCAUUGGGUUUAAAGGGUGCGUAGGCGGCCCAGUAAGUCAGUGGUGAAAGCUCUCCGCUUAACGGAGAAAACUGCCAUUGAUACUGCAGGGCUUGAGUACAGAUGAUGUUGCGGAAUAUGACAUGUAGCGGUGAAAUGCAUAGAUAUGUCAUAGAACACCGAUUGCGAAGGCAGCUGACAAAACUGUAACUGACGCUGAGGCACGAAAGUGCGGGGAUCAAACAGGAUUAGAUACCCUGGUAGUCCGCACCGUAAACUAUGAUUACUCGCUGUGUGCGAUAUACAGUACGCGGCUAAGCGAAAGCGUUAAGUAAUCCACCUGGGGAGUACGCCGGCAACGGUGAAACUCAAAGGAAUUGACGGGGGCCCGCACAAGCGGAGGAGCAUGUGGUUUAAUUCGAUGGUACGCGAGGAACCUUACCAGGGCUUGAAAGUUAGUGACGUCCGCCGAAAGGUGGAUUCCCGCAAGGGCACGAAACUAGGUGCUGCAUGGCUGUCGUCAGCUCGUGCCGUGAGGUGUUGGGUUAAGUCCCGCAACGAGCGCAACCCCUACUUCUAGUUGCUACCAUUAAGUUGAGGACUCUAGAGGAACUGCCCGCGCAAGCGGAGAGGAAGGUGGGGAUGACGUCAAGUCAUCACGGCCCUUACGUCCUGGGCUACACACGUGCUACAAUGGCUAUUACAGAGGGCAGCUACACAGCAAUGUGAUGCAAAUCUCGAAAAAUAGUCUCAGUUCGGAUUGAGGUCUGCAACUCGACCUCAUGAAGCUGGAUUCGCUAGUAAUCGCGCAUCAGCAAUGGCGCGGUGGAUACGUUCCCGGGCCUUGUACACACCGCCCGUCAAGCCAUGAAAGCUGGGAGUAUCUAAAGUCGGUUGCCGCAAGGCGCCGCCUAGGGUAAAACCGGUGAUUGGGGCU